CAGCAGCCACGGUAAUACGAAGGGUGCAAGCGUUACUCGGAAUUACUGGGCGUAAAGCGUGCGUAGGUGGUGGUUUAAGUCCGUUGUGAAAGCCCUGGGCUCAACCUGGGAAUUGCAGUGGAUACUGGGUCACUAGAGUGUGGCAGAGGAUAGUGGAAUUUCCGGUGUAGCAGUGAAAUGCGUAGAGAUCGGAAGGAACAUCUGUGGCGAAGGCGACUAUCUGGGCCAACACUGACACUGAGGCACGAAAGCGUGGGGAGCAAACAGGAUUAGAUACCCCCGUAGUCCCUGUCUCUUAUAC
rnacentral:rRNA from 1 species